rnacentral:lncRNA from 1 species
GGACACUGCAUCCAGACUUUUCAAUACUGGAUAGCCAAUGUCGGGAUUAAUAGGUUAGAAAAAAAAACGCGUGGUAUUUUUCGCUAAAUUCUCAUAAAUACCUACUGAACCGGCGGGGUGGAGAUUAGCGCUGCUGGUUCACAUGUUCUCUUGAGUGUCCCGGUCCGCGCUUGCAGUCCAAAGAGCCGGGUGUCCAGGUUAAUCAGAGUCUCUGGACGGACCCCGGCCGGUGUGCGUGUGCACGGCGAAGGCUUCAGCGUGCCCCUCGUGGACGCGCUUGAGUCUUCCAGCGAGACGCUUGAACAGGAUGCCGCCCCCACCCCGAUCUAACCUAACAAGCGACGUCCUGAACGGUCUGGCACGGGCACUACCAAAGAACACGCCCGCGGGGGCUGUUCUGCAAAUGCCCGGCUCCCUAGCAGCAGCUGAUAGAAUGUCGAUAGAAUAUCUCAAUCGCUUCCGACAAUGACGCGACAAUGGAUCUGUUUUUGUAAUGCGUGGAGUUCUAUUCGGCGACCAACCGCGCAGGUCUAGUGUCGGGGAAGGCAGAAUGUCCACAUUGCAAGAGGUUCGGCGUCCAUGGUGGCAGGGCGCUGGUCUUGAAUGGGGCUGAAGGAAGGCCGCUCAUCGGUUGGGUUGGAUCCGCGGUAGCGGUGGGUUUUGCCCUCGAACCCGCUAAAAAUGGAACCGUGGCACCAGAGCGAGGAGACCUCGCCCGAUUCAAAACCAGACGCGACGUGCUCGGCGCGCAACGCCUCUGAAGACGCAGAGAAAUUCAUCAGACGCCUCGUGGUGGAAGAAGGCCAGCGUCUGAUGGCGGACAAAACCCUCUACAGGAGACCGUCGUGGUCUCCGAACAUCCAGGGUGACCAGUCCCGCUCAAAGAUGGCCGCCCCCGUGCUUGGUCACCCCCACGCCGAGGUCAAGGGGUUCAUCGAACAACAUGGGGUUCUGGACGCUUUGGAAAAAGUUGUUUCUUUGCUGUUUCAUAAACUGGUGGAAGCCACAAACUCGGAUGGGCAUCCGGUCUUUAAAACGGACCGGGGGAGCGACCGCUACCACGAGGUCGAGUCCGGAGAAGUGGCUGACAUGCUGGACAGGGAGAUCCGUCUGUGCCGGCUGGUGAAGGGCCUGGAAAGCGUGUCGACAGCUGCCCCCGACCCGGAGCCGACGCCGGCUCAGAUAAAAAAAACAAAGACGCGCACCCCGAAAGAAAGAUCCGAGCGACCUCCCGCGACACACGCCCAGGACGUCGCUCCGGGAGGGGCGGCGUGUCCUUGCUGUGAGAAAAACACGGCGCACCCCGCGCGAGAAACCAGGAAACCCGCCCCCAAAACCGCUCCCCCGAAGGCAGGCAAAGGAAGACAAAAUAAAGCAGCAGAAAUCUCGGAAAAUACCGCCGCAUGGAAGAAGACUGGUGGGGGAGCCGCCCAGCAGCCCAGCAAUGACCCCAGGGUGAGCCUCAGACGGAUUCUGGAGGAGGCCUAUUGGAACAUGAAUGACUGGACCAAGAAAGGAGUGGAGCUGUCUCACAAACUGGGCAUACUUUUGACCCCAUCUGAAAGGAGCUGGCAGGAAGUUAAGACCCUCGGUGUGAAGGCAGAGCUCGGGUCCCAGGGCCUCCUGACUGAGGGCCCGGCGCCCCCGCACCCUGCUGCCGCCGGGGCCUGUGAGACCCCUGUCCAAGCUGAACCAGAGGCGAGGCUCCCUGGGCUCGACAGUGCCAUGGCAGCGCAAGAGGCCAUCUCAUCUUCCCACCAGCUCCCUGCUGAGAAGGAAACAGCGGAGAGGCCCAUCUCUCCCACAGACGGCGCACCUUUCCCACAAACAGAGGGAUGAGGAGUGUUUGGGCCGCUGUCCAGCCAGACUAUUCCAUGUUUCGGCAGCCCUUCAGCCACAAUAAAAAAACAAAGAGGUGAUCACGUGCUCUUGUACCAUGUAGAAAAUGGCAAAGAUCCCUGAAUUAUUGAUACCCUGUAUGGAGAGAUCAAUGUUUUGUUUUAAAACGAAAGCUUUUACUUGCUUCCGAUCCUAGUCAAUUAACCAGUUGCUGCCCUCUCUCUCUCUCCCCAGACGCCUGAAGAGGCUCUGCUGCUAAAACACAUUUCUUUUUUUUCUAUUUUAUUU